ensembl:lncRNA
GCCGUGUGUCGCGAGCGCAGUCACUGUGGAGGAGAGAGCGCGAGGCUGCGAUGUGAGAGAAACCUGAGGAGAAAAUAACGACAUUUUCGUGAAUGUUUUCUUACUUUUUCGCUCCAGUCGGGACAAAAAAGUACAAACGGGGCGUGAAAGAGUGCUGGACUCACCCAGAACAAGUUGAGUGAGUUGGAAAUGGCGAGUAGGUGGAGAGAGAGACAGAGAAUCUUCCGUUAAACUCUGAGGUAAAGUGGCCGUUUUUUAAGCUAAGCUAACCUUAACCUAGUUAACCUAAAGCUUCUCCACCGCCCGGUACGUUUACCUAGCUGGUUAGCCAGCUAACCUAACUAGGUAUAGUUAGUUAAUCUCUCGCUCUUUUGUUCUAUCUAACGUGGUUUGUUUUUUACACUUUUCUCCUCAGUAUUUGACGGCUUUGAGGAAUUUGUGUGAAGAAACGGUUUAUUUGAGCUCGUUGUGUGUAAGUUAUCCUAAACGAGGCUAUUUAUUUUGUAUUUGGUAACGCUAGUUUGUUUACGCUAGCUAACGUAUUUACCGUUAAAUGAGUUGUGUUGUUCAGAAACAGGCAGGGAAGGUGCCUGGAUGAGUGAGAGACACUGGUGGAUUCAUUUACCGUGGAAAAAAAUCAUCCAGCUCUGACUUUGACCGUAUAGACGGGACGGGAGCGAGGCUAACCUACGUCGACGGCAUUAAACAUUUUUACGAGUUGCCGGGAUGUUAUAAAAGCCUGGUCGUUUCUGCGGGACAGCAGGACUGAGAGAAGAAGGUCGAGAGCCGGGAAUCGGAGGAUAUUAUGGCUCUCUCAGCGGUCUCCCUCUGUUUCAUCGUCCUCGCCUCCGCUAACUUGCACCUGAGCCACGGGAAUAACCGCCAUGCCGUCUACUGGAACAGCUCAAACAUUCAAAUUAUGGAAAGCAGCCUCGUCAUGAAGCCCCGGCAGACGAACCUGAUGACCUUCGACGCUUCGCUCUGUGUUUACACUGGAGUUUAUUCAUCCAAACUGAGGAUUAAAGUUUGCAGACAGUGAUUUUAGAAGUAGGGAUGCACUGAAAUAAAAAAAUGGGUUGAAAAUGAAAAUCA